rnacentral:Y_RNA from 1 species
AGCUGGUGUGCGUGCAGCGGUGUUUAUAACUAACUGAUGACAGCCAGUUGCAAAUUCUUUUGUUGCUUCUCCACUCCCACUGCUUCAUUUGACCAGCCUAAA